CAUGCAAGUCGAACGAGAUCUUCGGAUCUAGUGGCGCACGGGUGAGUAACGCGUGGGAACCUACCAUUCUGUACGGAAUAACGCUUGGAAACGAGCGCUAAUACCGUAUACGCCCUGUGGGGGAAAGGUCCGCCGCAGAAUGAGGGGCCCGCGUCCGAUUAGUUUGUUGGUAAGGUAACGGCUUACCAAGACUACGAUCGGUAGCUGGUCUGAGAGGAUGAUCAGCCACACUGGGACUGAGACACGGCCCAGACUCCUACGGGAGGCAGCAGUGGGGAAUAUUGGACAAUGGGGGCAACCCUGAUCCAGCAAUGCCGCGUGUGUGAUGAAGGCCCUAGGGUUGUAAAGCACUUUCAAUGGUGAAGAUGAUGACGGUAGCCGUAGAAGAAGCCCCGGCUAACUUCGUGCCAGCAGCCGCGGUAAUACGAAGGGGGCGAGCGUUGUUCGGAAUUACUGGGCGUAAAGGGCGCGCAGGCGGUCGAUUUAGUUGGGUGUGAAAGCCCCGGGCUCAACCUGGGAACUGCACUUGAUACUGGUCGACUAGAAAACGGAAGAGGGCAGUGGAAUUCCCAGUGUAGAGGUGAAAUUCGUAGAUAUUGG
rnacentral:rRNA from 1 species